rnacentral:rRNA from 1 species
UAAGCCAUGGGCACUACUCCAAGCCCGACUUAGCCAGGGCCAAACACCAGGGCUGGUGAAUUCCGUGCCAGCCACCGCGGUUAUACGGAAAGCCCAAAAUAACACCCCCCGGCGUAAACUGUGACUAGAGCCAAAUUUCCACUAAAACUGAAGCCCCUGACCCCCGUAUAGUUGUAAAACACAAAUACACAUGGGCACCCCGCCAGGACUUCCAUAUAAAUUGCCUUGACCUCACGAAACCUGAGACAUAAACUAGGAUUAGAUACCCUACUAUACUCAGCCGUAAACCAAGAUGGACCUUGUACCACACACCAUCCGCCAGAGAACUACAAGCGAAAAGCUUCAAACUCAAAGGACUUGACGGUGUUCCACACCAACCUAGAGGAGCCUGUCUAAUAAUCGAUACUCCACGCUAAACCUCACCCCCCCUUGCAAACCCACAGCCUGUAUACCGCCGUCGCCAGCCUGCCUAAUGAUAGCCCACAAAGCAGACAAAAUAGUAAGACCACUAGAACGUCAGGUCAAGGUGCAGCCAAUGAGCGGGGACCCAGAUGGGCUACAUUUUCUAACAACCAGAAAACCAACUAUAGACUACAUGAAACCUUAGCCAAACGGCGGAUUUAGCAGUAAAUUUUCGGCAAGAAAUGCCAAAUUGAAACCUGCCCUGGAACGCGUACACACCGCCCGUCACCCUCCUCAACAGACACACUCCAAAUAACUCAAACCGCAAAUAACCACAAGACGAGGAAAGUCGUAACAUGGUAAGCCCACCGGAAGGUGGGCUUGGAAAAUCAGGGAGUAGCUAACCACCAAAGCACCCAGCCUACAAUUGGAAGAUGUUGACCACAACCCCCCUGAGCUAAAUAGUUAGCCGCCUCAUACCUACAAACACCCCCCCCCGAAAAAACUAAACCAUUCGCUCCACUAAGUAUAUGUGAUAGAAAUCUACCCCUCGCGCAAUAGCUAAGAGUACCAUACGGGAACACUGAAAGAAAACUAAACAUUUUAAGCACAAAACAGCAGGGAUUGCCCCCCGUACCUCUUGCAUCAUGGUCUAACAAGCACCCCCAGAUAAAGAGCCCUACAACCUGCCCCCCCGAACCCAGACGAUCUA